GGGACAUGAACCCAAUAUCUCUAUUCAGACCAGGUCUCUCCAUAGUUUUUAAUUUAGUAAUGAGUUGUAAUUCAGCAACUUCUCUUUUAAAUGUAAAUAUAAAAUUCUUUUGCAAUAAGACAGCUACUUUAAGAUCUUGUAUAGAAUGUCCUGGGAGACUGAAGUGUUUUCCUAUUGGUUUCUCUGCUUUAUGAUUCCUGAUGUCAGAUUUAUGCCCAUUUAUUCUUUGGCAUAAAGUUUGUCCUGUUUGUCCAGUAUAGAGAGCUGAAGGGCACUGUUGGCAUUUGAUAGCAUAUAUAAUGUUGGAAGAUGAACAAUUAAAUAGGCCUGAGAUGGUAUGUUUGAAGUUAUUGAGGCCAAUAAUGAUGUAGCAGCAAAGUUGGCAUCUAGAUUUUUUGCAGGCUCUUGUGCCAGUGUCCAUGUUAAGUCUGUUCGUUGUACUAUUGUGUGUGAGGAGCUGUUUAAGAUUGGGUGGCUUUCUGUAGGCAAUGAAAGGUCUUUUUCCCAGAGCUUGGGAAAGAGAGCUGCCAUUAUCUAAGAGAUGUUGCAAAUCUCUGAUUGAGAGCUGCAUGUGAUUACUAGUGGUGUUCUGUUAUUUUCUCUUUUGGGUCUAUCUUGCAGUUAAAAUAAAGGUGUUCACCUUGCCCCAUAUGUGCAUUUAUCUGAUCCUUCAAUCUGUGGAACUUGCACUUUUACAAGUGCCUCAGAAUGUCUGUCCCACAUUUGUGAGGAGAUGGUUCUCUAGUGUGGCUGGAGCACCAGCGCUCUUUAGUCAGCAGCCUCAUCACAGUGUUUUACAUGCCUGCUGAAAACUUUCUCUGUUGCAGCAAGCAUGAUUUUAGCUACCAAUAUUUCUUCUAAAAGUUUUAUUGAUUUUAUAUUUGAAUUUCAUGAUGGUGAUUUUAUUAAUAUUUGUUUUUAAUAGGUUUAUGGAUGCAAAGAAAUUGCAAUGGAAGAUAAUCUUUUUUUCCCUUGCUAGACUGAAAACAGGGAACAGGGAAAGACAAAGCUGUAAGUGAUAUAUAGAAAACAGGUUUUGAGGGGCUGAAUUAAUCAACCUGAGAUCCCAUCUUUCACUCAAACAUUUCUAGUCCUUAUGACAACAAAAAUAUUUCAUGCAGUUUUGGAAGCUGGAAUGAGGUGCAACUUUUAGGGACCAGAGUAUGCACAUAUAUCUUUGCUAUUUCCCGUGACAAGCAAAAGCACACUUAAUUAUGUAACUCUGAUAACUGAGAAAAGUAGUAUCCUAUACUCUCUUAUUUGGGAGCAAGUCUUGGAUGUGACUCCUGGAAGACCUGCUCCCUGCCUUGCAGAGCUUUCCCACUUGACCUGGGAGAGUGUGGCCUGACUGACUCCAGCUACAAAACGUGAGGCUGCUGAACAGGCUCUUGGGCCAGGGAGGGUUGUUGGAGGG